UGGGGAAUAUUGGACAAUGGGCGCAAGCCUGAUGCAGCCAUGCCGCGUGUAUGAAGAAGGCCUUCGGGUUGUAAAGUACUUUCAGCGGGGAGGAAGGUGUUGUGGUUAAUAACCUCAGCAAUUGACGUUACCCGCAGAAGAAGCACCGGCUAACUCCGUGCCAGCAGCCGCGGUAAUACGGAGGGUGCAAGCGUUAAUCGGAAUUACUGGGCGUAAAGCGCACGCAGGCGGUCUGUCAAGUCGGAUGUGAAAUCCCCGGGCUCAACCUGGGAACUGCAUCCGAAACUGGCAGGCUUGAGUCUUGUAGAGGGGGGUAGAAUUCCAGGUGUAGCGGUGAAAUGCGUAGAGAUCUGGAGGAAUACCGGUGGCGAAGGCGGCCCCCUGGACAAAGACUGACGCUCAGGUGCGAAAGCGUGGGGAGCAAACA
rnacentral:rRNA from 1 species